rnacentral:piRNA from 1 species
UCAGAAACCAGUGUCUACGUCACUCUUCUUU